rnacentral:rRNA from 1 species
AACGAACGCUGGCGGCAGGCCUAACACAUGCAAGUCGAGCGCGCCUUCGGGUGAGCGGCGGACGGGUGAGUAACGCGUGGGAAUAUGCCCUUCUCUACGGAAUAGUCCUGGGAAACUGGGGGUAAUACCGUAUACGCCCUUUGGGGGAAAGAUUUAUCGGGGAAGGAUUAGCCCGCGUUGGAUUAGGUAGUUGGUGGGGUAAUGGCCUACCAAGCCGACGAUCCAUAGCUGGUUUGAGAGGAUGAUCAGCCACACUGGGACUGAGACACGGCCCAGACUCCUACGGGAGGCAGCAGUGGGGAAUCUUAGACAGUGGGGGCAACCCUGAUCUAGCCAUGCCGCGUGAGUGAUGAAGGCCUUAGGGUUGUAAAGCUCUUUCAGCUGGGAAGAUAAUGACGGUACCAGCAGAAGAAGCCCCGGCUAACUCCGUG